rnacentral:rRNA from 1 species
GACGAACGCUGGCGGCGUGCUUAACACAUGCGAGUCGAACGGAAAGGCCCUGCUUUUGUGGGGUGCUCGAGUGGCGAACGGGUGAGUAACACGUGAGUAACCUGCCCUUGACUUUGGGAUAACUUCAGGAAACUGAGGCUAAUACCGGAUAGGAGCUCCUGCUGCAUGGUGGGGGUUGGAAAGUUUCGGCGGUUGGGGAUGGACUCGCGGCUCAUCAGCUUGUUGGUGGGGUAGUGGCUUACCAAGGCUUUGGCGGGUAGCCGGCCUGAGAGGGUGACCGGCCACAUUGGGACUGAGAUACGGCCCAGACUCCUACGGGAGGCAGCAGUGGGGAAUAUUGCACAAUGGGCGGAAGCCUGAUGCAGCAACGCCGCGUGCGGGAUGACGGCCUUCGGGUUGUAAACCGCUUUCGCCUGUGACGAAGCGUGAGUGACGGUAAUGGGUAAAGAAGCACCGGCUAACUACGUG